GAUGAAGAACGUAGCGAAAUGCGAUAAGUAAUGUGAAUUGCAGAAUUCAGUGAAUCAUCGAGUCUUUGAACGCACAUUGCGCCCCCUGGUAUUCCGGGGGGCAUGCCUGUCCGAGCGUCAUUGCUGCCCUCAAGCACGGCUUGUGUGUUGGGCCCCCGUCCCCGGUUUCCCCCGGGGACGGGCCCGAAAGGCAGCGGCGGCACCGCGUCCGGUCCUCGAGCGUAUGGGGCUUUGUCACCCGCUCUGUAGGCCCGGCCGGCGCCAGCCGACACCCAACUUUAUUUCUAAGGUUGACCUCGGAUCAGGUAGGGAUACCCGCUGAACUUAAGCAUAUCACUAAGCGGAGGA
rnacentral:misc_RNA from 1 species